AUGUGUGUGCCAAUAACAGCUAGCAGGUGUCCAUGUGGCACUUUUCAAGGUGACAUUGUGACAACCUCACAUGCUGUCUUGGGCUGUGAAAAGAAUUGUGGGUUUUCUUGCCUGGUUAACGAGAGAGCUGAAUGGCACAAGAAAAUAUGGAAUGCUGUUUGCAACAUUUUUUUUAUUACGCUUGGAUGUGCACUGCUGAACUCUGCCAUUGCAUUGAGAUACUAUUGCGUUCCGGGAUUGAUAUUUACACGGUUGCGCUGUUGUAUGGGCAUUUUGAAGACGGGUGCAGUGCGCCUCCGAAUCAUCCAUUUGUUGUCCUAUGGCGGUGGCUAUUAG
rnacentral:rRNA from 1 species